AGGAGCUGGCGCUGGUUGGAUAGGAGCAGAGAGGCCUCCUGUUUGGGACGUACUCCUGGGUACGCUGUGUAUAGACCCUGUGCUCACAGCAUGGGCCAGAUCUGCACCCACAGCGAGUUUACAGUCAGUGACGCUGAGGAGAGCUGUGGGCAAUGUCAGCCUCCCUGCUCGCCUGACCCUAGGCUAGUGGGAGCCAAAAAAGCACCAGGGAUGUUGUAAUUAUCCCAAAACCAAGCGUUCUGAUCCCCGGAAAUCUGCAGAGAAGGUUAAACUUAAAACACAUCCAAACAUGUGGCGGUAAGAAGUGCAUCCAAACAACCUUCACUUUGCCCUGUGGUGGUUUAUGGUCAUUUUUGGCCACUGUGCUGUUGGAGGUAGAGAGUUGCGCUAGGAGGUGAAUGAAUACAAGCAGUGGCCAUCUUUGCUAAGGCAGCCUGUGCCCUCAGCCCCACUUCGAUGCUAGCCAUUUUGAAAGAGGGAAGAUCUUUGUGGAAUUCUCCCUUAUCUGUGAGUCUCUGCUGAAGAAGAAACUUUCAGUUUUGAAGAAUAAUAGCAAAAAAGACCA